ACAACAUUCGAACUGUCGGUCUACCGAGAAAUUACACCUGCCCGGUUGAAGGUUUUCCCUUCGUCGU
rnacentral:pre_miRNA from 1 species